rnacentral:tRNA from 1 species
GCGAGAUUAGUUUAGCGGUAAAACUGUAGCCUUCCAAGCUAUUGUCGUCGGUUCGAUUCCGACAUCUCGCU